rnacentral:rRNA from 1 species
GACAGAGGUCCCAAGCGUUAGGCGGAAUCACUGGGCUUAAAGCGUGUGUAGGCGGCUUGGUAAGUCGGAUGUGAAAUCCCGAGGCUCAACCUCGGGUCUGCAUCCGAUACUGCCCGGCUAGAGGUAGGUAGGGGAGAUCGGAAUUCCUGGUGUAGCGGUGAAAUGCGCAGAUAUCAGGAGGAACCCCGGUGGCGAAGGCGGAUCUCUGGGCCUUACCUGACGCUCAGGCGCGAAAGCUAGGGGAGCGAACUGG